rnacentral:rRNA from 1 species
UACGGAGGAUCCGAGCGUUAUCCGGAUUUAUUGGGUUUAAAGGGUGCGUAGGCGGAUAAGCAAGUUAGAAGUGAAAUCCUAUAGCUCAACUAUAGUAAGCUUUUAAAACUGCUCAUCUUGAGGUAUGGAAGGGAAAGUGGAACUCCUAGUGUAGCGGUGAAAUGCUUAGAUAUUAGGAGGAAUACCAGUGGCGAAGGCGACUUGCUGGAAUCUAACUGACGCUGAGGUACGAAAGCGUGGGGAGCAAACAGG